AGUCGAGGGGUAUAGGAGCUUGCUUCCUAGAGACCGGCGCACGGGUGCGUAACGCGUAUGCAAUCUACCUUUUGCAGAGGGAUAGCCCAGAGAAAUUUGGAUUAAUACCUCAUAGUAUGUGAGAAUGGCAUCAUUUUCACAUUAAAGUCACAACGGCAAAAGAUGAGCAUGCGUCCCAUUAGCUAGAUGGUAAGGUAACGGCUUACCAUGGCGACGAUGGGUAGGGGUCCUGAGAGGGAGAUCCCCCACACUGGUACUGAGACACGGACCAGACUCCUACGGGAGGCAGCAGUGAGGAAUAUUGGACAAUGGGCGCAAGCCUGAUCCAGCCAUGCCGCGUGCAGGAUGACGGUCCUAUGGAUUGUAAACUGCUUUUGUACAGGAAGAAACACUCCCUCGUGAGGGAGCUUGACGGUACUGUAAGAAUAAGGAUCGGCUAACUCCGUGCCAGCAGCCGCGGUAAUACGGAGGAUCCAAGCGUUAUCCGGAAUCAUUGGGUUUAAAGGGUCCGUAGGCGGUUUAGUAAGUCAGUGGUGAAAGCCCAUCGCUCAACGGUGGAACGGCCAUUGAUACUGCUAGACUUGAAUUAUUAGGAAGUAACUAGAAUAUGUAGUGUAGCGGUGAAAUGCUUAGAGAUUACAUGGAAUACCAAUUGCGAAGGCAGGUUACUACUAAUGGAUUGACGCUGAUGGACGAAAGCGUGUGUAGCGAACAGGAUU
rnacentral:rRNA from 1 species